UUGGAAUCUCAAAAGCUAUAUCGGUGCACUGGCUAACCACUAGGGGAUUUAGUCAUGUUAAGUGUUAUCCGAAAGAAAUAAACUCCAUGUUAUAUUCCCACUUUAAUGGAAAGUUUCAAACUACGAUGACACUUGUUUUUGACUGAGUGAGUGAGUGAGAAAGUGAAAGUGUGUGUAAUCGAUCACAAAGAAAGAGCGAACGGAAAGGAAUAUGUGGUUUCUUGGUUGGAAAGGAGAAUCUGGCUUCUCAGCCUCCUCCACGGCGGAGCAAGUCACUCAAGGCAUUGAUGGACACGGCCUCACCGCCAUCGUCACCGGGGCUACAAGUGGCCUUGGUUUGGAGACGACGCGAGUUCUUGCACUGCGCGGUGUCCAUGUUGUUAUGGCUGUAAGGAAUGUUGAAUCUGGCACCAAGGUCAAAGAAACAAUAUUGAAGGAAAUUCCCUCAGCUAAAAUUGAUGUCAUGGAAUUAGAUCUUUGCUCUAUGGCAUCUGUUAGGAAGUUUGCAUCAGAUUAUAUUUCUUCUGAACGUCCACUCAAUAUCCUAAUUAACAAUGCAGGGGUGAUGGCAACUCCAUUCCAGCUUUCUCAAGACAACAUUGAGAUGCAGUUUGCAACGAAUCAUUUGGGUCAUUUUCUCUUGACAAACCUUUUACUACAAACUAUGAAAAAAACUGUACGUGAAUGCAAACGGGAGGGAAGGAUAGUCAUUCUAUCUUCGGAAGCACACAGACUUCCAUAUCAAGAAGGAAUUCGUUUUGAUAAGAUCAAUGAUGAAUCAGUGUACAACAGUUAUUAUGCUUAUGGACAAUCAAAGCUUGCUAAUAUUUUGCAUGCCAAAGAACUUACGAGGCGCUUUAAGGAAGAAGGAGUUGAAAUAACCGCUAACGCACUUCAUCCAGGAUCAAUUAUUACAAAUAUUCUGCGUUACCAUGGUUACAUUAAUGCUGUUGCUAAUAUGGUGGGUAAAUACUUACUUAAAAAUGUGCAACAGGGAGCUGCCACUCAAUGUUAUGUAGCAUUGCAUCCACAAGUUAAGGGAAUAUCUGGUGAGUACUUUAUGGACAGCAAUAAGGCAACGCCAACCCAUCUGGCUAACGAUUCAGAGCUGGCUAAAAAACUAUGGGAGUUCAGCGUAAGCCUAACUAAUCAAAAGUAGCUCACAGGUUUGUCUGACUACUAAGUAAGGGCAAAACAUAGUUGUAUUGAAAAACUGUUUAGCAGAAUAGAAACUUGCUGUUACUCACAAGCCGUAUAAGCUGUAUAUAUGUAAAUUUAAGACGCGAUGCAUAACCACUCAAGUAGUGCUACAAUUUGGCAUAUACAUUACAUGAAGCCUUUGCAUUUUCAAUUUGCAAAAGAGUAAUGACUUUCCUUCCAGCAAAAAA